GUCGUAACAAGGUUUCCGUAGGUGAACCUGCGGAAGGAUCAUUAACGAAUAACUAUGGUGUCUCAGGUUGUAGCUGGCUCCUCGGAGCAAUGUGCACGCCCGCCAUUUUUAUCUUUCCACCUGUGCACCGACUGUAGGUCUGGAUACCUCUCGCCGCAAGGCGGAUGCGAGGGUUGCUCGUAAAGGGCUCCCCUCGAACUUCCAGGCUCUACGUCUUUUUACACACCCCAAUAGUAUGAUGCAGAAUGUAGUCAAUGGGCUUCACAGCCUAUAAAACACUAUACAACUUUCAGCAACGGAUCUCUUGGCUCUCGCAUCGAUGAAGAACGCAGCGAAAUGCGAUAAGUAAUGUGAAUUGCAGAAUUCAGUGAAUCAUCGAAUCUUUGAACGCACCUUGCGCUCCUUGGUAUUCCGAGGAGCAUGCCUGUUUGAGUGUCAUUAAAUUCUCAACCUCACCCGUUUUCUGAACGGGGUCGAGGCUUGGAUGUGGGGGUUUGUGCAGGCUGCCUUCACUGGCGGUCUGCUCCCCUGAAAUGCAUUAGCGAGGUUCAUGCUGAACUUCCGUCUAUUGGUGUGAUAAUUAUCUACGCCGUGGACGAGGAUCAGACUCGCUUCUAACCGUCCGCGAGGACAAUACCUUGACAAUUUGACCUCAAAUCAGGUAGGACUACCCGCUGAACCUAAGCAUAUCA
rnacentral:misc_RNA from 1 species